CCUACGGGGUGCAGCAGUGAGGAAUAUUGGUCAAUGGGCGCGAGCCUGAACCAGCCAAGUCGCGUGAGGGAAGACGGUCCUAUGGAUUGUAAACCUCUUUUGUCGGGGAGCAAAAGACGCCACGCGUGGCGUUCCGAGAGUACCCGAAGAAAAAGCAUCGGCUAACUCCGUGCCAGCAGCCGCGGUAAUACGGAGGAUGCGAGCGUUAUCCGGAUUUAUUGGGUUUAAGGGGUGCGCAGGCGGAAGAUCAAGUCAGCGGUAAAAGUGAGGGGCGCAACCUCUUCGAGCCGUUGAAACUGGUUUUCUUGAGUAAGUGAGAAGUGUGCGGAAUGCGUGGUGUAGCGGUGAAAUGCAUAGAUAUCACGCAGAACUACGAUUGCGAAGGCAGCAUACCGGCGCUCAACUGACGCUCAUGCACGAAAGUGUGGGUAUCGAACAGGAUUAGAUACCCGAGUAGUC
rnacentral:rRNA from 1 species